rnacentral:rRNA from 1 species
UACGUAGGGGGCAAGCGUUGUCCGGAAUCAUUGGGCGUAAAGGGUGCGUAGGCGGACGCUUAAGUCAGAUGUGAAAUGCUGCAGCUCAACUGCGGCCUGGCAUUUGAGACUGGGUGUCUUGAGUGCAGGAGAGGGAAGCGGAAUUCCUAGUGUAGCGGUGAAAUGCGUAGAUAUUAGGAGGAACACCAGUGGCGAAGGCGGCUUCCUGGACUGUAACUGACGCUGAGGCACGAAAGCUGGGGGAGCGAACAGGAUUAGAUACCCUGGUAGUCCCAGCCGUAAACGAUGGAUACUAGGUGUUGGGUACGACAGUAUUCAGUGCCGGAGCAAACGCAAUAAGUAUCCCGCCUGGGGAGUACGGUCGCAAGACUGAA